rnacentral:rRNA from 1 species
CCCUUAGAUGUUCUGGGCUGCACGCGUGCUACACUGAGUGGAUCAGCGGGUCAGGUUGCGCGAAAGCGUUUCCUAAUCUUUAAAUCCGCUCGUGAUGGGGAUUGACGGUUGCAAUUUUCUGUCAUGAACGAGGAAUACCUUGUAAGCGCGGGUCAUCAUCCCGCGCUGAAUAUGUCCCUGCCCUUUGUACACACCGCCCGUCGCUCCUACCGAUUGAGUGGUCCGGUGAGGCUUUGGGAUCUGAGCGGAAAGAGCGUUUCGCUGUUUCUGCUCGGAAAACUCAGUCGAACCUUAUCAUUUAGAGGAAGGAGAAGUCGUAACA